ACCUGUUAGUCAGGUCAGCUAUGCCUCUCAUUAUGGAAAACUUAGCCAGUCUCAGGUGGACACUUGAGGAAUUGCAGUUUUAACACUUCCGCAUUGGUUUCAUUUCCCGCGUCCCGAGGUUGCCCCUUGAUUAUGACAUGCACAUCAAAAGCUGUGGGUCAAAGUCCCCUUUUGUGGUCAGGAAGCCAUCCAUCAACAUUUGCAAAACACCCAUCGUGUUGCUUGGUGCAUAAAACAUGAGGGACAAUAAAGCAGUG